rnacentral:rRNA from 1 species
GAUGAACGCUAGCGGGAGGCCUAACACAUGCCAGCCGAGCGGUAGAGUUUCUUCGGAAACUUGAGAGCGGCGCACGGGUGCGUAACACGUGUGCAACCUACCUUUAUCUGGGGGAUAGCCUUUCGAAAGGAAGAUUAAUACCCCAUAAUAUAAUGAUUGGCAUCAAUUAUUAUUGAAAACCCCGGUGGAUAGAGAUGGGCACGCGCAAGAUUAGAUAGUUGGUGAGGUAACGGCUCACCAAGUCAAUGAUCUUUAGGGGUCCUGAGAGGGAGAUCCCCCACACUGGUACUGAGACACGGACCAGACUCCUACGGGAGGCAGCAGUGAGGAAUAGUGGACAAUGGGUGAGAGCCUGAUCCAGCCAUCCCGCGUGAAGGAUGACGGUCCUAUGGAUGGUAAACUUCUUUUGUACAGGGAUAAACCUACCCUCGUGAGGGUAGCUGAAGGUACUGUACGAAUAAGCACCGGCUAACUCCGUG